AGGCAGCAGUGGGGAAUAUUGGACAAUGGGCGAAAGCCUGAUCCAGCCAUGCCGCGUGUGUGAAGAAGGUCUUCGGAUUGUAAAGCACUUUAAGUUGGGAGGAAGGGCAGUAAGUUAAUACUUUGCUGUUUUGACGUUACCGACAGAAUAAGCACCGGCUAACUCCGUGCCAGCAGCCGCGGUAAUACAGAGGGUGCAAGCGUUAAUCGGAAUUACUGGGCGUAAAGC
rnacentral:rRNA from 1 species